UCAGUAUGACAUUCUGGCUGGUACAGGUGCUGGAGUUACAGUAGCUGUUAUUUGAUGAAUGCACAGAUUUAGGGGGAGAAGAAGUACCCUGGUGCAUUGUGCAUUUGUGUGUCUUACUAGUUGCAUCCAUAACUAGUAAUUCUGUUGAUUGUUGCACAGAUUUAGGGGGAGGAGAAGUACCCUUGUGCAUGUGUGUAUUACUAGUAGCCAUAGCUAGUAAUUGUUUUUUGCUUCUGCUGCUG
rnacentral:lncRNA from 1 species